ensembl:lncRNA
UGGAGAUGUGAUUCAGUACAGAACAUGUUUGGUAUGCAGGAGGAAUGACUAAAGGAGGAUGAUUCUUGCUGGUCAGGCUGGUUCCGGAGGGGCAAAUAAGAGCUGCUUCAAUGACAGUCUAAUUGUAGCCCACAUUCCCUCCAUGGUCUCUGGGGAGGGUUGCUGCUGGUCCACAAAGCUCUCAGGCCAUGCUAAGUCCCCGGAUGCUUCCACGGGUCUGCCGCUUCCAUCCUGCUGUAGGCUCAGUGAAGAAGGUGUUGACCCUGGUGACCUGAGCCUGCUUCCAUUGGGUAAUAGGAAAUGGCACUGACCCCUCCUGAUCCCCCCGAUUACCUUCGUGAAGCGUGAAUGUGGUAUGGAAUCACACAUCAGGAGACGAGUUGUAAUUAUUUCUGCGAUGCCAUCAGCAUGGAUCAAUCACUCAGGGAGGCUGCGAGUGGAACGCCGCUCGCAGCCAUAGAUGGAGCCAGCAGCGACCAUCUUUGACUGACAGCUUUGGUAAUUAAGUGAUUGUAUAGACCCCUCCGACUGUUAUAACAACCUUGUCAGGGCCAGCCUGUGUUUGGAACACACUCAAAUCAAUGUGUUCUCCACUCCCUAAGCAUUUCUGAUCAUGUACCUCAGACAGAAGAACUCUUUGCAUUGACGCUGCUUUCCUUUAAUAAUUGACAUGGCAGUAAAAGAGAUUUUAAAACACAAAAUAUAUAAUAUAAAAAAUAUACUUAACAUUACCAUUUUAUCAUAUUUUUUUCUCAUAGGAGGCC